rnacentral:rRNA from 1 species
UACGGGGGGGGCAAGCGUUGUUCGGAAUUACUGGGCGUAAAGGGCUCGUAGGUGGCCAACUAAGUCAGACGUGAAAUCCCUCGGCUUAACCGGGGAACUGCGUCUGAUACUGGAUGGCUUGAGUUUGGGAGAGGGAUGCGGAAUUCCAGGUGUAGCGGUGAAAUGCGUAGAUAUCUGGAGGAACACCGGUGGCGAAGGCGGCAUCCUGGACCAACACUGACACUGAGGAGCGAAAGCCAGGGGAGCGAAUGGG